GCCUCUCCCCACUUGCUCCCCUCAUCACCAACAUCAUUCACUCCUCCCUAAUCUCUGGAACCGUCCCUCUUGCACUUAAAACCGCUACAGUAAAGAAUAUCCUUUUCCCUGAAC